rnacentral:lncRNA from 1 species
UGAGAUGCUGAGUUCACUGUGCCAUUGAACCUGCCUGUGUAAGAUUGUUGAGUCUGAGAUGCUGAGUUCACUGUGCCAUUGAACCUGCCUGUGUAAGAUUGUUGAGUCUGAGAUGCUGAGUUCACUGUGCCACUCAACCUGCCUGUGUAAGAUUGUUGAGUCUGAGAUGCUGAGUUCACUGUGCCACUGAACCUGCCUAGGUAAGAUUGUUGAGUCUGAGAUGCUGAGUUCACUGUGCCAUUGAACCUGUCAGUGUAAGAUUGUUGAGUCUGAUAUGCUGAGUUCACU